UCGCCUGUUUAUCAAAAACAUGUCCUCUUGUGUAGAAUCUGAGGUCUGACCUGCCCACUGAGAUAAAUCUUGAAGGGCCGCGGUAUUUUGACCGUGCAAAGGUAGCAUAAUCAUUAGUCUUUUAAUUGAAGGCUAGAAUGAAUGGUUGGACGAGGUAUUGACUGUCUCUGUGUAAAUGAGAUUAGAAUUUAACUUUUGAGUGAAAAGGCUCAAAUGGCUUUAAAGGACGAGAAGACCCUAUAGAGCUUUAUAAUUGAUUUUUUAUAGUUUGUUUAGUAGAAUUUUAAUUAUAAUAAAAAAAUUAUUUUGUUGGGGUGACAGGAAGAUAUAAUAAACUCUUUUUAUAUAUGAAACAUUUAUGUAUGAAUUAUUGAUCCAUUAUUAAUGAUUAAAAGUCUAAGUUACCUUAGGGAUAACAGCGUAAUCUUUUUCGAGAGUUCUUAUCGACAAAAAGGGUUGCGACCUCGAUGUUGGAUUAAGGGUAAUUUUGGGUGUAGAUGUUCAAAGUUUAGGUCUGUUCGACCUUUAAAUCCUUACAUGAUCUGAGUUCAAACCGGAGA
rnacentral:rRNA from 1 species